GCAGAGGCGAUCACGUACGCACGCGGGCAGGGCACUUCACGUACGCAGGCAGAGACGGAAACGAGUUUGGCUCUGAUACCAAAAUAUGAUUUAGGGUUGUGAGGAACAAAGCCUCCACAUAUCUCGUAUAUAAAAAGGACCAACAGUUACAUGUACAACACGACUAAGACUAGGACACGUAUACAACACGUAUACGAAUCGGUUUCUAACAC
rnacentral:lncRNA from 1 species